GUCUCUGUGGCGCAAUCGGUUAGCGCGUUCGGCUGUUAACCAAAAAGGAUGGUGGUUCAAGCCCACCCAGGGAUG